rnacentral:rRNA from 1 species
UACGGAGGGAGCUAGCGUUGUUCGGAAUUACUGGGCGUAAAGCGCGCGUAGGCGGCUUUGUAAGUUAGAGGUGAAAGCCCGGGGCUCAACCCCGGAACUGCCUUUAAGACUGCAUCGCUUGAAUUGUGGAGAGGUAAGUGGAAUUCCGAGUGUAGAGGUGAAAUUCGUAGAUAUUCGGAAGAACACCAGUGGCGAAGGCGACUUACUGGACACAUAUUGACGCUGAGGUGCGAAAGCGUGGGGAGCAAACAGG